AGAGUUUGAUCCCUGGCUCAGAUUGAACGCUGGCGGAAUGCUUUACACAUGCAAGUCGAACGGCAGCAUAGAGAGCUUGCUCUCUGAUGGCGAGUGGCGAACGGGUGAGUAAUAUAUCGGAACGUACCUAGUAAUGGGGAACAACCAAUCGAAAGGUUGGCUAAUACCGCAUACGACCUACGGGUGAAAGCAGGGGAUCUUCGGACCUUGCGUUAUUAGAGCGGCCGAUAUCUGAUUAGGUAGUUGGUGGGGUAAAGGCCUACCAAGCCGACGAUCAGUAGCUGGUCUGAGAGGACGAUCAGCCACACUGGAACUGAGACACGGUCCAGACUCCUACGGGAGGCAGCAGUGGGGAAUUUUGGACAAUGGAGGAAACUCUGACCCAGCCAUGCCGCGUGCAGGAAGACGGCCCUAUGGGUUGUAAACUGCUUUUGUACGAGAAUAAACCUUUCCACGUGUGGAAAGCUGAAGGUACCGUACGAAUAAGGAUCGGCUAACUUCGUGCCAGCAGCCGCGGUAAUACGGAGGAUCCAAGCGUUAUCCGGAUUUAUUGGGUUUAAAGGGUCCGUAGGCGGGUCUUUAAGUCAGUGGUGAAAGCCUGCAGCUUAACUGUAGAAUUGCCAUUGAUACUGGAGGCCUUGAGUGUAGUAGAAGUAGGCGGAAUAAGGCAUGUAGCGGUGAAAUGCAUAGAUAUGCCUUAGAACACCGAUUGCGAAGGCAGCUUACUAUGUUACAACUGACGCUGAGGGACGAAAGCGUGGGGAGCGAACAGGAUUAGAUACCCUGGUAGUCCACGCCGUAAACGAUGAUUACUCGCUGUUAGCGAUAUACAGUUAGCGGCCAAGCGAAAGCAUUAAGUAAUCCACCUGGGGAGUACGCCGGCAACGGUGAAACUCAAAGGAAUUGACGGGGGCCCGCACAAGCGGUGGAGCAUGUGGUUUAAUUCGAUGAUACGCGAGGAACCUUACCAGGGUUUAAAUGGGAAUUGACAGAUGCAGAAAUGUGUCCUUCUUCGGACAAUUUUCAAGGUGCUGCAUGGCUGUCGUCAGCUCGUGUCGUGAGAUGUUGGGUUAAGUCCCGCAACGAGCGCAACCCUUGUCAUUAGUUGCUACGAAAGGGCACUCUAAUGAGACUGCCGGUGACAAACCGGAGGAAGGUGGGGAUGACGUCAAGUCCUCAUGGCCCUUAUGGGUAGGGCUUCACACGUCAUACAAUGGUACAUACAGAGGGCCGCCAACCCGCGAGGGGGAGCUAAUCCCAGAAAGUGUAUCGUAGUCCGGAUUGUAGUCUGCAACUCGACUACAUGAAGUUGGAAUCGCUAGUAAUCGCGGAUCAGCAUGUCGCGGUGAAUACGUUCCCGGGUCUUGUACACACCGCCCGUCACACCAUGGGAGCGGGUUUUACCAGAAGUAGGUAGCUUAACCGCAAGGAGGGCGCUUACCACGGUAGGAUUCGUGACUGGGGUGAAGUCGUAACAAGGUAACCGUA
rnacentral:rRNA from 1 species